UACGUAGGGGGCUAGCGUUGUCCGGAUUUAUUGGGCGUAAAGAGCGUGUAGGCGGCCAGGUAGGUCGGUUGUGAAAACUGGAGGCUCAACCUUCAGAGGUCGACCGAAACCAUCUGGCUAGAGUCCGGGAGAGGAGAGUGGAAUUCCUGGUGUAGCGGUGAAAUGCGCAGAUAUCAGGAGGAACACCGGUGGCGAAGGCGGGUCUCUGGGCAGUAACUGACGCUGAGGAGCGAAAGCGUGGGGAGCGAACAGG
rnacentral:rRNA from 1 species